CGAUGACGCGCCAUAAGCGUCAUCGGCCCUGCUAAACGAUGACGCCCCACGUGCGGCAUUGGCCACUGGUUGUGUUUUAUGCACAUUUAGACUAAGGAAUUGUAAUUACAGUAUAAUCAAUUAGUUUUAACGUGUUUUUUUAACAAUCCUUGUAUGCCGCGCCUGGCGCGUCAUCGGCCUCACUGAAUCUUUUUAAAUGACGCGCUGGGCGCGGCAGUGGCCACGAAUCGGUUAAAUGGAUCCUUAGGAAUUCCCUAUAGUAC